ACCUUCUCCUGGCCGGUGGCGGAAACGGUCGCCAUGGUCCGGCCAUGGAACGACUCGGCGGCGGUGAUGAUCUCGUACCGCUCCAGGCCGAAGGUG
rnacentral:tRNA from 1 species